AUUCGGAGGGUUCAAGCGUUGUUCGGAAUUACUGGGCGUAAAGCGCGCGUAGGCGGUUUGUUAAGCGAGAUGUGAAAGCCCUGGGCUCAACCUGGGAACUGCAUUUCGAACUGGCAGGCUAGAGUACAAGAGAGGGUGGUAGAAUUUCCUGUGUAGCGGUGAAAUGCGUAGAUAUAGGAAGGAAUACCAGUGGCGAAGGCGGCCACCUGGCUUGAUACUGACGCUGAGGUGCGAAAGCGUGGGGAGCGAACAGGAUUAGAAACCCCAGUAGUCC
rnacentral:rRNA from 1 species